CUCUCUCUCUCUCUCUCACAUACACACACACACACACACACACACAAACAGCAUACCAGGUUGUUCAUUCACAAUCCUGUUAUUCAGAGUAAAACCUCUUCAGUUGCACUCAUGGCCUUAACUUACGUGGGGAGGGUGUAAGAAAGGUUUGUUUGUGUGUGUGUGUGUGUGUGUGUUUGUGUGUGAGAGAGCGAGAGAGGGAGAGAGACCCUGCUGCUAAGAGCUGUCAUGAGUGUAAAUCCGUUUGCAUUACGAAUGGCGAUAGAGAAACAGAGGCUGGAAAAAAUAGAUGAGGAAAAAGGUUUAAAGAUGCUGCCCCCGGGUCACCGUUGUCCUCUGACGAAUCCUCGUACCAGGAUCUAGACUCAGAGUUUGAGGGUUCGGACAUAGAGCUGGACAUCGAGAGUCUUCAUCCUCCUCCAUCGACAGCAGCCUCCCCCACACCGACACACACCCUUCAGCUGCCCGGUCCACUGUACAGCCAGGCCGGGGAAGUUCUGGAGUCUCCAGGGUGCCCUCCUCCGUCUGACAAUCAUAAAGAUCUCAGCCAAGAUAAGGGGAUCCCCCUGUGUUUCCAAAACGCCAUGGACACGCUGAGAGACAUCAGGCAAGCCUAUCAGGAUGCAGGGAAAGGAGGCAGGUGGGUCAGAAUCUCUAUCUCACACACACACACACACACAAACACACACACACGUACACACACAACGAACACUUAAAUGCAUAUAAGCUGCGAGGAAAACUAUUUACGAAUGCGAAUGAUACUGAGCUGAUUGGAUAAACAGUGCUAACACAUCCACAUCUGUUUAUACGUAAACACAAACAAACACAAACAUUUUAUGCGUGAACAGUUAACGCCCCCUCCUACCCAACACACACACACACACACACACACACACACACACACACACAGACACACUUGCAGUCUCUUGUAUACAUAGUACGCUCUUCCCAAUCUAUAGUCAACAACCGGCACCAACAGUAGGACAGUGUCCUCUCCGGUUUCACUCUCAGACCUGUACGCAGGCACCUGUCGGCGUGUCCAGGGGACAACCUGUUCUACCCGAACAGGUUGGGUGGGGGGGCUUUUGUGAAUCAGUCCAUUGUCUGGCAUGAGGAGAUCUCACCACUGAAACAGGUCCAAGCUCUCAAGGAAGAAUAAAGGUAUUUGAGCCGCUCUCUCAUUUCACAGCAACAACUUUCAGUGAUCAAGAGAGAUGAGGAAAAUUUGGAUUUUGGGAUUUGGCUCAGUUCAGCAUAAGAAAACAAACCUCAGGGGCAUUUUUUUUUUAACGAUA